UAGAAAAUGCACAGUGUCAAGUUUUAACUGCCUGAAGGUGCUGCCUGUGGAGGAUCCAGUUAAUGAGGAGGAAGCACUAGCUUUCAGUUAGGAACCAUCCUGAGGAAGCAGGUUGUAUGGAAGUCUCCUUCACAGAGAGGGCUGUUGCAUAAAUCAGCUCCAGAGGAAAAUUUCAGAGACAAGCUGUUCAUCAAGCGCAUGGAUUCAUCCAGAUGGAGUCAGAUAUUUUAAUCAAGCCUUCAAUCAAGGUAAGAGGAGUU
rnacentral:lncRNA from 1 species